rnacentral:lncRNA from 1 species
CAAAAAGCAUCUUGCUUCAAUCAGUUUAUUCCAGUUCUGAAUAAAAAUUAUUAGUUGUAUUUUAACAGCAACAGUUCCAACCUAGACUUGUUUUCAACAAUAAUUUAUACAGUAAAAUGUACAGGAGACCUGAUCAUUUUUCAUCUUCAUCUGUAGUUUCUUAGGGUCGCACUAUCAGUAGCUAGUUAGCUUGCUUUGGCAAAUGUUAGCUAUUAGCUGUGUAACGUUAGAAGGCAAUUGGAUUGUUUGAAAGAGAAACUCACAUCUAACGUUACUACCAUGAGAGAUAGUACUCCCUUAUUUCUGCUCAUCAUCACCUGUUAUAAAAUGACAACAAUGCCUUGCUAGUUGACUUACUCUUCCACGUUGAAGCACUGUUUCCUGAAGCAUUCUGCCCAGUUCUGAAAGAACUCCCUGGGUUUACCGUCAUGUUGUGCCUGGAUGUUUGGUCAGGACGUGUCGUUUUAUUAAUUUGUUCGUUUUGAGAGACUCAUUACUAAGCACUUCCCCACACAAAACACAUUGUGGGGACUCCUUGUUUUUUCUGAGUUUGUAUGAAAGAGACAAAAAGUCAUCACUGUAAUUGCGUUUCAUGACGAUUGAGCUCAGUCAGAACUUGUGGCUAGCAUGUAUCCAUUUCAUGAUGGCGAGUAGGAAUGACAAUUCAGCGACUUGAACGACAGCGCUGCAGCGUGUGGGUCGCGGAGUGAUCUUCAACAAAACUGCAGAAAAAAAGAUCCAGUAAACCGCGACGCACACGGGCAUCUACCUCUCGCGCAGCUGCCAAACAGCAGAGAGCGCUGAUAAGCAGAGAGCGCACCGAACCGACAGCGCAGUUGCACUUGGCCAAAUCAAUUCCGCUCCUCUCCCCCUUCCCUCCCUGCCUCCACUCUCCUUUCUCCCCCAUACCCAUAACCCUCUACCCCAGAUUCCCCAAUUGGACUUGGUGAUCCUGCCUUGGGUGGGAAGCUGAUGGCAGGAAUGCAUGUUGACCACAGUCCCCGGAGAUGCUUCCAACAGGACCACGGGCGCCUGGUCAUCCCCAGCAGCCCGGCCCAGCUGGGUGCCCUGGUCAAUGGCACGGCUAAGGACCAGCACCGGCAGGAGCAGGCCCUCCACAACCUCCGCAAGACCAUGGAGGACAAGGAGCGGCAGCUGGACGAGAAGGAGGCAGUGGACGUGUGAGCGCCAGGCCCUAAAAGCGGGCCAUGAGGCCAGGGUGUGGGCCCAGGAGGAGAAGCUCCUGGCCCUGCGUGUGGAGAUGGCUGCCCUGCGUGACUAGGUGGACAAGUACAAACGCCCCACCUCCUCUUCCAGGCCUCCCUCCACCACCUUCACUCAACCCCCACCUCAACCCCACCCACCUCAGUAUCCGCUCCUUGGUCUCUGGGCCCUGCAACUGGCUGAGGUUCUAUACAGUGUUUGGAUCCUACGGCCACUUCAAAGCUCUACUCCGGGGCAGAGAGGACAGAGCUGUUUGACUGAAGAGAGGGAGGGAGGACACAGCUGGGGACGAUGGUGGAGGAGAGGACAAUGAACAGCCUCAAUUUGUCGGAGCAUGGAGUCUACAAGGUGUCGAAAGCGCUUCACAGGGAUGCUGGCCCAUGUUGACUGGAUGUCCUUUGGGUGGUGGGCCAUUCUUGAUACACACGGGAAACUGAUGAGCGUGAAAAACCCAGCAGCGUUGCAGUUCUUGACACAAACCGGUGCGCCUGGCACCUACUACCAUACCCCGUUCAAAGAACCCUCCCUUCAUCAUCCAGGCCUUCCGCUUCAGGGUGUCAGAGUCCACCGUGUCCCACGUCUGGAGCACCUGGAUGGAGCUGCUGCAGAGACGGAUGAGACAGGGAGAGGGUUGAAAAGGGAGUAUGCGGUGGGGAGAGUAGGGAGGGUAACCUCUUGGUGGAAGGAGGGGGGCAUAGAGAGGUAGAGGUGUGGAGAGAGUGGGGCCAAAAAUAAAUACAAAAUACAAAGAAAGUUUGAAUGAAACCUAGGUAACAUCAGAUUACAUACUGUACCUGCCCCAUAGCAUGACCUUGACUCUUAUCAGUGAAUAAUAAUUAGAAUGUCGGUAGAAUCGUGAGAUAAUGCUGGUUUUAGGUUGUAUUUUGUAGUCCACCAAAACAAAGCCAUUGUUUUGACUACUCAGGAUCUCAGACUUAACGAACCACGUGAUUGUUAGAGAUAACUGUUAUCGGUAGGAGUUUUAUAUUUCCUGUGCUUUUCACCUAUACUGUUAUUGUGACCUAUAAGCCUUGAGCACCCUCAUUCCCUCUCCCCACCAGAUCCCCAGCCAGCGUUACAUCACUCUUUCCAGCCCCACCUAGCCAACGGCUCUAGGUUCUCGAGUGUGCCGACACCCUCUCCGACGUCCACUCCAGCCUCCGCAAGCGAGGGGACACACCCAACCCCUCCUACCAGGCCCUACCACUACCUCUGCAGCGAACGUGUCUGCUGUCUGAUGGACAAGGGGAUGGCGUUCCAUUACCUGAGGGUGGUGCACCCUGCCCGGAUCGGUGUGCUGCUUCCUGGCCUGCCUCCUGCACCGUCCUCAGGGAAUCAAAUAGGUCCAAGACCAAGGGCCUCUGUGACAACUAUCUCUGCGAGCAGGCCCAGACUAACUACCUCCACGAGGAGGCCCAAGCUAACCACCUACAUGUGAGGAGGCCCAGACUUCUAUCUCCACAUGGAGACCUUUGUCAACAACCUCCUUGAGGAGAACCAUGUUGACCUCGUCGAGGAGGCCCCUGUUUACAACUUCAGUGAGAAAGCCUGUCUACUACCUCUGCGAGGAGGCCCAUGUCAACAACGUUCUACAUUGGGGAGUAGUUUGGGACUCUUGAUUGAGAAAGGACAACUAAAAGUUGCAUGGGCCUCCUGAAAGAUGUUUGAGUUAUUUUUAUUGUUUAUCUUUUCUGAAUUGUGUACAAUGAAUUGUUUAUUACUACUGUUAAGACAAAAUGGAAUUGACUUAAUAACAAGACACCUUGUUCCAAAGUUCAUAAUAAAACUUUUU